UUGGAGAAAUGUCUUCUAUUGUUUUGGCAAGUAACCGUAUAAUAAGGGGGGAUAUUUUUUAUUUACGUAGGCCUACAUUUGUGCGUGUGUGCGUGCCUGCGACCAUUUGCGCUGAAAAAAUUGAUAUUACUAUUAAUUUGUAAACUUAUACUAUCGCAUUGCAAGCUUGCUCUCGUGUGUGUGUGUGUGUGUGUGUGUGUGUGUGUGUGUGUGUGUGCCAUGUGUAUUGAUCGUCUGGGAACACCUUUAAUACUGCAAAAACAUGCUCAUUUUCAAAAUCGUUUAGGUGAAUGUUGAUUAAAUAAUGUUGGCGUUUUUACUAUGCCUGCACCAAUUUUUUUUUAUAGCCUAAAUGUAACAUCUACUCUUACCAGUAGCAGUUAAUCAAAACCAUACAAUUUAAUGGUUUUUUUUAUAAAGAGAUACAACUUAUAUUGAGCAGAAUUGAGUUCAGCCUAUUGGUCCGGCCCUUCACAACAGUCCCACUAUCUCAUGUGGCCCCUUGGGGAAAUUAAUUGCCCACCCCUGCUUUAAAGGUUUGUUUUAUAACUGUCAGAACCUGAGCUAUUCAUGUUAAUGUAUAAUUAUAAAUAUUAUUUUACAUUUAAUGCUUGCCUUUCAGCGUAUCAAUCAGAAAUGAAGUCCGCACAACUACAUCUCCUGGACAAGACACCACAGGACCUUUUUACUGUGGUGAUGUAUUCCACAGCAGAGAAUAUCCAAUCAAGAGUUCUUUCAGCUGAAUGAUGGACAAGUCAGCCCCUGUAAUGACUGUCAAGUUUAGCACACCUUUGAAUAUUAAAUAAUUUCUCUAAUGAACUUAUAAUACUGUUCAAUUAUUUUUGGUUUUGUAUUUUUUCUUAACUGUUAUUGGAUGAAGCAUUAUUAACUGUAGGUACUGUCAUGGUGACCUCCAUUUUGUGAAGUGUGUGAUUGGGCCUAUGGUGUUCUGAUGCUAUGUGCCACUGUGUAGCCUAGCGUAGUACGCUUACAGGCAGUUUAUAAAGGUUAUGUGUUUAGCACAUUAGCACUGCAAUUGUAUUAAUGUUCUGUGCAUGUUAUUGCCUCCCUUGAUAUCCUUAUCGAUUUAUAACCAACCUCAAAUGCGGCUCAUCUCAGAAUAAAAAGUAUUGUUGGGGUGAAAAAUCA
rnacentral:lncRNA from 1 species